rnacentral:rRNA from 1 species
CAGUCGCCGCGGGAAAACGUAGGUGGCAAGCGUUGUCCGGAAUUAUUGGGCGUAAAGCGCGCGCAGGCGAAUAGGUCAGUCUGUCUUAAAAGUUCGGGGCUUAACCCCGUGAUGGGAUGGAAACUGCCAAUCUAGAGUAUCGGAGAGGAAAGUGGAAUUCCUAGUGUAGCGGUGAAAUGCGUAGAUAUUAGGAAGAACACCAGUGGCGAAGGCGACUUUCUGGACGAAAACUGACGCUGAGGCGCGAAAGCCAGGGGAGCAAACAGGAUUAGAUACCCCUGUAGUCCCUGUCUCUUAUACA